rnacentral:rRNA from 1 species
UACGUAGGAGGCAAGCGUUGUCCGGAAUCACUGGGCGUAAAGCGCGUGUAGGCGGAUCGCUAAGUCUGUGGUGAAAGCGCCUGGCUUAACCGGGCGAGGUCCAUGGAAACUAGCGGUCUGGAGGCCGGUAGAGGGGGGGUGGAAUUCCGGGGUGUAGUGGUGAAAUGCGUAGAGAUCCGGAGGAACACCAGUGGCGAAGGCGGCCCCCCUGGGCCGCGCCUGACGCUGAGACGCGAAAGCGCGGGGAGCGAACGGG